AUUGAACGCUGGCGGCAGGCCUAACACAUGCAAGUCGAGCGGAUGAAGGGAGCUUGCUCCUGGAUUCGGCGGCGGACGGGUGAGUAAUGCCUAGGAAUCUGCCUGGUAGUGGGGGAUAACGUCCGGAAACGGGCGCUAAUACCGCAUACGUCCUGAGGGAGAAAGUGGGGGAUCUUCGGACCUCACGCUAUCAGAUGAGCCUAGGUCGGAUUAGCUAGUUGGUGGGGUAAAGGCCUACCAAGGCGACGAUCCGUAACUGGUCUGAGAGGAUGAUCAGUCACACUGGAACUGAGACACGGUCCAGACUCCUACGGGAGGCAGCAGUGGGGAAUAUUGGACGAUGGGCGAAAGCCUGAUCCAUCCAUGCCGCGUGGGUGAAGAAGGUCUUCGGAUUGUAAAGCACUUUAAGUUGGGAGGAAGGGCAGUAAGUUAAUACCUUGCUGUUUUGACGUUACCAACAGAAUAAGCACCGGCUAACUUCGUG
rnacentral:rRNA from 1 species